rnacentral:rRNA from 1 species
CCCUUACGAUGGUCGCUCCAUCUUCACGCCGGAUCGAUGUUCAUGUAUAGGUCCAGAGUCGUCGGUACUAGCUGUACUCGUCGUGCCACUUUUAGCAUUGUACUCGUCGUCUCGUACACCACCCUCCUCAGUUUGUUCGUGACCUCAUCAUAUUACUCACCAUCACCAUCACCAUCAAGCGAUUAGCGCUUUCCCUUUAGAAAAGUCCCGAACUUUGUGCGGCACUCGUCUGGCCCAUGACUAACCAAAUAUGUCCGUGGAGUGGAAGAUCCAAUCGGAAGGCUAGUCCGUGAUUCUGUUUGCCGAAGAAUCUAGCUGAGGAGACCACUCAUCACUGUAUUUUUAAAGGUUUAUGAUGACCGGCCUUAGGCCCGUCUGCUACUACUAUCAUUCUUCCAACCCCCUCGAGUCGAGUCGAGAGGAGCCUGGCACGGCACGAGCCGAGUUGGUGCCAAGUGCCGCCCGACUCCUUGUCGCGGCCUAGCCACAGCCGCUUGUGCGGCCGGUGGGUCAUCCUGGGGUCCAGCGUCGGGCUGCCGGUGAGCUUGCCCGAGCCCAGGCGGUCGAGGAAGGGCGGCCGGAGCAGGCGGUGCGGCUCGGGCUCGCGGUGGCUGCCCACUAGCCACUUUCGGUCCGGGGGCAAAGACAGUCGGCGCCCACCGUGCAGCCCGAGCGGCCGGCACUUUCGCUUCGGGGGCAGAGGCAGGCGGCGCCCACCGCGCAGUCCGAGCGGCCGGCACUCUCACUUCGUGGGAAGGAAGCGCCCACCGCGCAGCCCGAGCGGCCGACACUUUCGCUUUGUGGGCAGGCGGCAUCCCCGACGCCGCCCUAGGAGUCGACGACACUGCAGGAGCCACCGGCGCCGGAGGAAGCAGCAGCGCCGCUGCCGCCGACUCCGCAGCCGCGGCCCGAGUCGGAGCCCGCGGCCCCCGCGCCGGCCGCGCUGCGCCGCCGCGAACCUCAAGAACCGCGCGAACCCCGACCUCCUGCUCCUGCUGCUGCUCCUCCUCGAGAACGCGCUCGGCGGCGGCUGCCCCUGCAACGCCUCCCACGGCGGGAACCAGGUCAUCGCCGCCGUCCUGAACGUCAUCACCGCGCCGACCCUCCACAACAUCAACAACAUCAUCGUCUUGAACCACAGGGACCUGAGCGUCGCGCCCGUCCCCAGCGGCACGCGGAGGGGGAGGAGGCGGCGGCGGCGGGGGUGGAGGCGGACGCGCCAGCAGCUGCCGCGGCCGCUUGCCGGCGGCGGGCCCGAGGACGUACGGUGGAUGGUUGCUCUCGUUUCGACCGAGGCUAGCCAGCCGCCACCUCCCUUCCUUUCCUUGCCUGCCUGCUCCGCAAACCAAACACAUCGAUCGCUCGCGCUUGCACGCACCCGCCACGCCGCCCCACCCAGAAUUCCCCCGCCCGGCCACCUCGUCCAGGUCGGCAGGUAGAGUUCACCUCGUCACAAAAUGCCACGCCGCCGUAAACUGCCACGCCGGCGUACGCACGCACUCCACCGCGGCUGACAACCCCGCCACACCGCCCCCGCGGUGGCGGUGGAAACAAACUGGGCGCCGUGUCGCGGGCCGCCGUUGGUGGCGCGCCCGCAUGCCCGGAUCAUGCUGCAUCAUAUGGUGGUGCUCGAUG